rnacentral:tRNA from 1 species
GCCGACAUAGCUCAGCGGUAGAGCAACUGAUUCGUAAUCAGUAGGUCCGCGGUUCAAUCCCGCGUGUCGGCA